rnacentral:rRNA from 1 species
GACGAACGCUGGCGGCGUGCUUAACACAUGCAAGUCGAACGGAAAGGCCCUGCUUUUGUGGGGUGCUCGAGUGGCGAACGGGUGAGUAACACGUGAGUAACCUGCCCUUGACUUUGGGAUAACUUCAGGAAACUGGGGCUAAUACCGGAUAGGAGCUCCUGCUGCAUGGUGGGGGUUGGAAAGUUUCGGCGGUUGGGGAUGGACUCGCGGCUUAUCAGCUUGUUGGUGGGGUAGUGGCUUACCAAGGCUUUGACGGGUAGCCGGCCUGAGAGGGGGACCGGGCACAUGGGGACUGAGAUACGGACCAGACUCCUACGGGAGGCAGCAGUGGGGAAUAUUGCACAAUGGGCGGAAGCCUGAUGCAGCAACGCCGCGUGCGGGAUGACGGCCUUCGGGUUGUAAACCGCUUUCGCCUGUGACGAAGCGGGAGUGACGGUAAUGGGUAAAGAAGCACCGGCUAACUACGUG